GUUUAUUCAUCACCACUGAAAAUAGCAUACAAUGCCCAAGAAGACGAGCAGGGGAAGGCAACACCUUAAGACUGGCUUUCAUCAAUGUCUUUGUCUGGAUCCAUUUCUGCAGCUUCAAUCUCCUGUUGCUGUUUCUUCCAGAGUUUAGCCAUAGCAAGUAGUUUGAGAUUAGGCUGAUUGGCAGUAUCUUCUGGGAAAAUAUAAUCAUAAUAUUCCUCCCAGCCAGCAUCAGACCCAUCUUCAGCCUGCAGUUUUCUCCUCUUCUUUAUUUUUUCAGGCAUAAGUUUUUCUAUCCUCUCUUUAGUGCUAUCAGUUCCAAACUCCUCUUCAAAGGUCUUCCAAGAUUCCAGAAGCAUGACUCUCUCCUCUUUCUCCUCACAGUUUCGCAUUGCCUUAUUAGCCUCUUCGUAAAUCUGCCGGCAUUUUGACAAACUCUCCUCUUUUCCUG
rnacentral:lncRNA from 1 species